GAAAUGCGAUAAGUAGUGUGAAUUGCAGAAUUCAGUGAAUCAUCGAAUCUUUGAACGCACAUUGCGCCCUUUGGCAUUCCGAAGGGCAUACCUGUUCGAGCGUCAGUUGCACAACUCAAGCACAGCUUGGUGAUGGGCGCCUGUCUCCCCGCGCUUUGCGGCGGGACUCGCCUGAAAAGCAUCGGCGGCCCCCGCGUCGGCCACGAGCGCAGCAGAAACGCGAACUCGUGAGCCCGUCCGGGCGGCUCCCAGAAGCUACACCCACCCAGUUUGACCUCGGAUCAGGUAGGGAUACCCGCUGAACUUAAGC
rnacentral:misc_RNA from 1 species